UACGUAGGGUCCGAGCGUUGUCCGGAAUUACUGGGCGUAAAGAGCUCGUAGGUGGUUUGUCGCGUUGUUCGUGAAAACUCACAGCUCAACUGUGGGCGUGCGGGCGAUACGGGCAGACUAGAGUACUGCAGGGGAGACUGGAAUUCCUGGUGUAGCGGUGGAAUGCGCAGAUAUCAGGAGGAACACCGGUGGCGAAGGCGGGUCUCUGGGCAGUAAACUGACGCUGGAGGAGCGAAAGCGUGGGGAGCGAACAGG
rnacentral:rRNA from 1 species